UCCAGACCCAGUGCAGCUGGACCUGGCCCAAACAUGCCCACCUUGUCCAACUCUGGGAGGCUGCUAGAAACUUCCCAGUUAAGCACUCUUCAUGUUUUAGACAUGAUACUGGGUACUCUGAGGAAAAGCUACAAAGAAUAACUUUAUAAACUUCCUGCCUUCAAGAAGUUGCCGACUCAGAAGACAUAAGAAAUCAAUGAAACUAAAAUGAAAGGUACAAUGUAAGUGCGAAGAUCAUGCGGUUUCUGGGAAGCACUGGAGAAGGAAAAGGCUGAAGAAAGGAAGACCGAAAAGAAAUACAAGUACUUCCGCCUUGGCAAAGAUGAUAGUACCGUUCCCUUCAGUGUUCCGGUUCUGCUCUAUUGGAUAAGUUCCGGUUUGACUAUGACUACGUGAAAAUGUGGAACCAGACCUUCACCCCACAUUCCAGCUCCAGCUCUACCACAGAGGAAGUGCAAUAUCACCUUAGUUAUUCAACACAUUAUGCUCCUCGUGAUACAACCAGAGUUCACAUCAGCAAUCUUGGCAGCUGUCACCACGCUGCUGACUCACGACUCUCUCAUGUCCCAAUUUCCUGUCCAUUGUUCUUUCCUCUACUUGGCCUGAUUUCUAAAGGCCUCUCUUGGUUGCAUUAAGCGGGAUUCCUGAGGGAUUCCCUUGGCAGUUACCUUGGGGGAGCUCUUAGGUUUGGGGCUGAUCCAUGUCCUCUAAAUGUAGGACUUCAAAGCUCCCAAAGAUAGGCAGGCCCAGUGGAAAGCUGGGAAAUGCUCUCUGACCCCUGUGGGAGAGCUGGCAGUCAGAGGGCCUUUUGGAAAGAGUCAGACCUGAUCCAUAAGUCCCUGGAAAACACCCUGCCCAGGGAGCAAAUGCCACUGUGGCCUUGACUGAGGCUUCAGAAGAGUUUGGGAGCUGCAAUUCAUCCACACACGCAUUCAUUUUCAAGUAGUGGUUUGCAGUUCAGGCUUUGGAGCCACAUAAGCCUGGCUUCAAAGCCACUUUGCAGCUUUGUGACUUUAGGAAGUCUCUACAUUUUUAAACCUCCAUUUUUUUUUUUCCUGUAAAACUGGGGUCUUCAUGGUACUUACUUCAUCGUGAUGUUGAGAGAAUGAAAAGAAAAAGGAUAAAUAAAUGGCUUAGCCUCGUGCAUACCUCGGACAUAUCGUGGGUUCAGUUGCAGACCACAGCCAUAAAGUGAAUAUCACAAGAAAAGUCAAGAUGGAAAUAAUCCUGGACUGAAAUCCCAGAUUCUUUCUAACUUGUUGCUGUGCCAUCCUCAACAUAUGGCUCUGCCAUCCUCAACAUCCUAACUGGUCCAAGGUGGCUGCUCCAUUAACCAAGAAGGAUGAAGAGCAGGACAAAGUUAACCCUUGAACAACACGGAUCUGAACUGCAUGGGUCUGCUUCUGCCUCUGCCACUCCUGAGACAGCAAGACCAAGACCAACCAUUCUUCUUCCUCUUCCUCCUCAGCCUGCUCAACGUGAAGAUGACAAGGAUGAAGUUCUU
rnacentral:lncRNA from 1 species